UACGUAGGGUGCGAGCGUUGUCCGGAAUUAUUGGGCGUAAAGAGCUCGUAGGCGGUUUGUCACGUCGGAUGUGAAACCCCGGGGCUUAACUCCGGGCCUGCAUUCGAUACGGGCUGACUAGAGUUCGGCAGGGGAGACUGGAAUUCCCGGUGUAGCGGUGAAAUGCGCAGAUAUCGGGAAGAACACCCGUGGCGAAGGCGGCUCUCUGGAACGCAACUGACGCUGAGACGCGAAAGCGUGGGGAGCAAACAGG
rnacentral:rRNA from 1 species